rnacentral:rRNA from 1 species
UACGUAGGGUGCGAGCGUUAAUCGGAAUUACUGGGCGUAAAGCGUGCGCAGGCGGUUUUGUAAGCCAGAUGUGAAAUCCCCGGGCUUAACCUGGGAAUGGCAUUUGGGACUGCAAGGCUUGAGUGCGGCAGAGGAGACUGGAAUUCCUGGUGUAGCAGUGAAAUGCGUAGAUAUCGAGAGGAACACCUGCGGCGAAGGCGGGUUGACUGGGCUGACACUGCGCUGAUGCGCGAAAGCUAGGGGAGCAAACGGG